GGCUGCACCACAUAAGUAUGAGACAUCAUAAUUCAACCUUCUGGCAAGUAUCAGGGGCAUUGCAUUGGCCAUGAAGAGCUCCCGACAUCCUGAAAAUACAAAAAGGCAUCUACAAACUUAAGCUAUUUCUCUCUGCCACACGUUGUGGUCAGAAUAGAUGCAGCAUGGUAACAGGCCCUUCUAGUCCAGCAACCCGAUGGCGCCCAGUUACCGCCAGGUGACCAAUUAAGCUGCUGGCCCAUGAGCCUUUGGAAUGUGCAAGCAAAACAGAGCACUUGAGGAAACCCAUGUGGUCGUGGGGAGAACGUAUAAACUCCUUACAGACAGCAAUGGGGAUUAACCCAUUGAGGAUCGAUCUGAUGCCGUGCAGUGUUACGCCAACCACUACGCUACCGUGUAUUCCCUGACAUCAUCACCGAUGUAAGUGGACAGCAGCAAAUCAGGUGUCCAUCAUACAAGUAAACAGAAGAUUAAAGUUGUGCAAGACUGUUCGUGCAAAGGUCUGUUACCACCAACAAUGUGAGCAUGCCAAUGGCAAAAUGUUCUCCCAUUCUUUCUCUGCCCUGCAGGAGAACACAACUACAGCUGUGUUCCUGCUGCACCUGAUGACCCUGUGAUCUCUGUCUCAGAGGCUGUUGUUAGACGCUCUGUAAAGAGAAUGAAGUUGGAAAGUCCCAAUGGAGUACCUGGUAAGGCUCUGAAAACCUGUGCCAACCAACUAGUGGGAUUAUUCAAGAAUAUUUUCAGUCUCUCACUGCUACGGGCGGAAGUUCCCACUUCCUUCAAAAGAGCAACAAUUAUACUAGUGCCUAAGAGGAAUAAUGUGAGCUGUCUUAAUGACUAUCGCCCGGUAGCACUCACAUUGAAUUGAAUUGACUUUAUUUCUUACAUCCUUCACAUACAUGAGGAGUAAAAAUUUUUACGUUAUGUCUCCAUCUAAAUGUGCCAUGUGCAAUCAUAGUAAUUUAUAAUAAAUAGAACAGUCAAUGUAAUAUAGAGUACACUCAAAUCAGCAUGAAUUAAUCAGUCUGAUGGCCUGGUGGAAGAAGCUGUCCCGGAUCCUGUUGGUCCUGGCUUUUAUGCUGUGGUACCGCUUCCCAGAUGGUAGCAGCUGGAAUAGAUUGUGGCUGGGAUGACUUGUGUCCCCAAUGAUCCUAUGGGCUCUUUUUACACACCUGUCCUUGUAAAUGUCCUGAAUCAUGGGAAGUUUACAACUAAAGAUGCACUGUCUGCACCACUCUCUGCAGAGUCCUGUGAUUAAGGGAGGUACAGUUCCCAUACCGAGCAGUGAUGCAGCCAGUCAGGAUGCUCUCAAUUGUACCCCUGUAGGAAGUUCUUAGGAUUGGGGGCCCAUACCAAACUUCCUCAACUGUCUGAGGUGAAAGAGGUGCUGUUGUGCCUUUUUCACCACACAGCUGGUGUGUACAGACCACGUGAGGUCACAUCAACAGUGAUGAAAUGCUUUGACAGGUUGGUCAUGACCAGAAUGAACUGCUGCCUCAGCAAAGACCUGGACCAUUGCAAUUUGCCUAUCACCACAAUAGGUCAAUGGCAGAUAUAAUCUCAAUGGCUCUCCACACGGCUUUAGACCAUCUGGAACACACAAGCACCUACGUCAGGAUGCUGUUCAUCGACUAUAGUUCAGCAUUUAAUACCAUUAUUCUCACAAUCCUGAUUGAAAAGUUGCAGAACCUGGGCCUCUGUAUCUCCCUCUGCAAUUGGAUCCUUGACUUCCUAUCCGGAAGACCACGAUCUGUGUGGAUUGCAUGAUAACAUUUCCUCCUCACUGACUAUCAACACUGGUGCACCUCGGGGGUGUGUGCUUAGCCCACUGCUCUACUCUCUAUAUACACGUGAUUGUCUGGCCAGGCACAGAUCAAAUACCAUCGAUAAAUUUGAUGAUGAUACAACCACUGUUGAUAGAAUCUCAGGUGGCAACGAAAGGGCGUACAGGAGUGUGGAAUGCCGACUAGUGGAGUGGUGCCACAGCAACAACCUGGCACUCAACGUCAGUGAAACAAAAGAGCUGAUUGUGGACUUCAGGAAGGGUAAGAUGAAGGAACACAUACCAAUCCUCACAGAGGGAUCAGAAGUGGAGAGAGAGAGCAGUUUCAAGUUCCUGGGUGUCAAGAUCUCUGAGGAUCUAACCUGGUUCCAACAUAUUGAUGUAGUUAUAAAGAAGGCAAAACAGCAGUGAUACUUCAUUGGGAGUUUUAAGAUAUUUGUCAUGUCAAUAAACACAUUCAAAAACUUCUAUAGAUGUACCGUGGAGAGCAUUCUGACAGACUGCAUCACUGUCUGGUAUGGGGGGGGGGUGGGUGGGGGCUAUUGCACAAGAUCAAAAAAAGCUGCAGAGGGUUGUAACUCUAGUCAGCUCCAUCUUGAGUACUAGCCCACAAAGUACCCAGGACAUCUUCAGGGAGUGGUGUCUCAGAAAGGCAGCGUCCAUUAUUAAGGACCUCCAGCACCCAGGGCGUGCCCUUUUCUCACUGUUACCAUCAGGUAGGAGGUACAGAAGCCUGAAGGCACAUACUCAGCGAUUCAGGAACAGCUUCUUCCCCUCUGCCAUCUGAUUCCUAAAUGCACAUUGAACUCUUGGACACUACCUCACUUUUUUUCAUACAGUAUUUCUGUUUUUCCCACUUUUUAAAAUCUAUUCAAUAUAUGUACUGUAUACUGUAAUUUAUUUAUUUGUUGUUUGUUUUAUUUAUUAUUUUUUUCUCUUCCAUAUUAUGUAUUAAAUUGAACUACUGCUACUAAGUUAACAAAUUUCACGUCACAUGCCGGUGAUAAUAAACUUGAUUUUGAUUUUGAACUUAUUGAUAUCUUUCCUGUAGGGAGGUGACAAGAACUGCACACUCAAUACCUCAGAUCUGCCAAUGUCUGAAACAACUUGAACAUCCCAACUUUUGUACUCAAUACUUUGAUUUAUGAAGGCCAAAAAGGCAGUGCCACUCUCAAAAAGGCUUUCAACCAAGAAUGAAUCUACUCUUUCUGCCAGUAUUACAGUUGUCUUGCUACUUGUUUUAUUAUUGUCAACGUGGAGUAACUAUUCAGAGUGAUGGAAGCGAAUUCAGUCCACAGUCUUUUGAUUGAGGGUAAAGAGUUUGUAAAUAUAUUAAAUUGCAGAUAAACAUUAACACACCUCACAAGCGGUACAAUUUUUCCUUGGUUGUAGGUAAUUAUGGGGACUCCAAAAAGUUAAGUGGGGUUAUUCACAAUAAGAGUUCCCUGCCAAAAUUAGGAUGAAGUUCCCAAUCUAAAACGAAAAGAUGCUGAAGUAGCAUUUGUUGUGUGUGGACAGUGAGACGCCAUUGCUCAUAUGAACACACAGGGCUCCUUAACCGUCAUGAACUGUUUGUGCGAAGUUCAAGGUGAUCCAGUGCCUUUUUCAGUCAAUCAUACUGAUGACUUUUCUGGACUUUUUUCUUUUACUUUGUAUUGACACCAGAUGAAAAUGCUGUGCAUAUUUGACAAUCCUUGUUGUUCGAACUUUUGACAAUUUACUUGGCCAGUACUGAAGCUCCACAGGUAAGCAUGCCCAUAUACAACAUGUCCUUGAUGCAUCAAUCUACUCUGCAAAGAGAGGACAGGGUGGAUCAAGCUGGUUUAAAUAUAGCUAAGGGGUUUCCUCGUGUUGUUCUGACUUUAGUAUUUUAGAUGAUGUAAUAUGGACCGAGAUCUGUGGCACAGGAUACCAAAAAGUGGAACUUGUGCUAGAAUUGGAGCAUAUUAUUUUCCCUGUAUCAUAUUAAAGUGUUUAUAGAAUUGUCAAUCAUAUAGUAAAUAUAAUAAUAGAACACUGAAUGUACAGUCUCCCCAUGCUCACAACAUUAGGCACUACCUCCUCAGUUACUGCUUAAAAUUCUCAGUAUGAUACUUACUCUGGAGGAACUCAGCAGACUGGGCAAUAUCUAUGGAUAAGAGCAGACAUUUGAUAUUUCAGGCUGAGAACAUUCAUGACUCCUUCCAUAGAUGCAGCCUAGUUCCUCCUGCAUUUUGUGUCAGUUGUUUUAGAUUUCCAGCAUCUGCAGAUUUUACUGUUUGUGACACUUAAUCUGUCUCAGGUGAUAUUCCUGACUGAAAUAGCAGUCUUUUCAUGCAGAAAACUAUUCAAUGAUCUGGAAAUAUCAACUUCUGCCAUACAACAGACCCACAUCCAACUGCACUGUAAAACGUGGACCUACAUUCACAAGUAAGGUGAAACUUUCAAAGGAGUUCUCCUUGUGUCAAAAGGCUUGUCAUGCACUAUAUAACGUUGUUCUGUCAGAUAGAUGCCUUAUAUCAUUGCCUGGGGAGGUUAAAACGUUUGUCAGGCAAGUGAUGAAUGAGUUUUGCAUCAUGUUACGAUGAACCAAAACCACUAAUUUGCACAAAGUGCACAGAUCAAGGGCUCUUCAAUAAAGAAGUCAUUAAGAUAGUCUGCAGAUCUCCAUUUACCAAAGUGGGAACAGAAUGGGAACAGAAUGAACCAGUAUUACUGACAGCAACCUGACAGAAUGUAUCAGGAAGAACGCCGUUCUGUAGAGUGCCAGACUUACUUUCCAUAAUUCUGACAUACCUAUCUGGCAAGCAGAUUUGAGAAAGAACAGUUAUACUGUAAAUGUCAUUGUUAAUUACAGGACGUGAUCAUGAAAAUUUUUCCUCAAUUACAUUCUCAGCUUUUAAAAUGAUUUAUAGCCCGUAGGUGAUAACUAUUUUUUCUUUAACCAUCGAAUUAAAAACAAUAAUUGUUCAAAAAGGGAGAGUUGUAAUUCAAGAUCCUUAAUAAUGAAAGAUAGCAUUUCACACAUUUGUUUUUUUUGUGUGGGUGCCCUAUUGAUUUCACAAAUUCCACUGAACAUUUAAGGAUAAACCAGAAUUGGCAUUCUAAAGCACAAAUGUCGUAGCAUGAUGUUGGUCCAACCUAUUUGUCUUUAUUUUCUGCAGUUUUAGGAUGGUGUUUGUCUGUACUGGUGGCAGCUAAUGGCUGUAAUUGGCAUUUGUGUUGGUCUAGGUCUCCAGGCGAUUUCACAGCACACAAUUAGCUUUUACCAUGGUUCUAUUAAAGGCAACUUUCAUCUUUCAAAUAUUGAUUGAUCCAUGGUGCACUUCUAACAGCUACUAUUUUGAGUUGACAGAGGUAUAUUUAUUUCCCAGCUUAGCUGAUUUUUGGACAGGCAGCUCAGCUUGCCAACAAUCAGUCUUGAUGUUCCAAGAAUUAAGGAUCAUUCUCAAAGAAAAAGCUUUAUGUGAUCCAUGCUUUGUGCAAUCCAGGAAAUAUAAAACAGUGUUUUAAUUCCUUUUUGCCUGAUUAUGAAAACACUUCAGAUGAGACUAAGGCGAUUUAUAACUGAAUCCCCUAUUUCAGGGGCUCCUAACCUUGGUUAAUGGUAGGUAUCCAUGUCAUAAAACUAGGAUUGGUAACCCCAGUUCUAUUCAGUUAAAAAAUGAUUCCAUUCACUCUCCAAUUGGUUGAGGGGUGAUGAUGGUAAGGACCUGUUAUGUGGCCAACAGUGAUUUACAGGGAUAGAUUUAUCAGAGACUGGCUGUCAUGUGAUAAUAGUUCUUGGGAAAAACCAGAAUUCCUGACAUUUUGUAUUAUGGGUUUAAGCUUUUGCUCCAGUCAGAAAUCCAAGGGCAAUGGUCAUGGUACAGAACUUGCCAAAAAUCUGAUUCUCUCUGCAAAAGAUUGAAUGCAUCAGUAUUUAUAAUGAUUUGUGCAAACUCUUUGAGAUUGCAAUUUGAAUAUGGGGGGAGGGGCACAGGGGAGGCCACAGAGCUGCAACAACCAAGCAUCCCACUGAUGCUUGGACUUCAGUCUUUGAGAGUCCAGUUUCCAGUGCUGUAACUACUGGGCAGACUUGAAAGCUAAAUAAAUAAUGACGUGUGCAGCAUUUGGCAGAGCGCGGAAGAAACCACAGAGCAACAUUUUUGCUUCUGUGAGUUCAAUUUGGCCAAAUCCCAGUUGCAAUUAAACACCAAGUUCACAAGAACUAUGUGUGAGAACAAUGUACUUUAAAUGGGAGGAAAGAAAGAUUGUGUAUGGUUUGCUUUGUCUUUAAGAGGAAUUAUAAACCUGUGACCAGUUCAUAGGCGAUUUGAUCAAGUGCAGACCAUUUACACAUCUGUUAAUGAUCACCUUCAUCUAAUGCAGGUGGUUAUAUUUAAAUGUAUGGAACAUUGAACUUGUAUGUAACAAGGUACAAUAGAAGGUUCUGAUUAAAAUUAGCUCAUCUAGAUUUUUUAUUUAUUAAUCUUUUACCUAAUACAUUUCAUAAUUUCAAAACAUACAUUAUCUGUGCUGUAGAAUUCAUAAAUGAUUACAAAUAUUUUGAAUAGAUUCAUAAAGUAAUACAACAUAGAUAGAGGCCCUUUGGCCCAACAAGUCCAUGCUGAACAUGUUGCCCACCUAACCAAUCCCAGAUUCCUGUCUGGCCCAUAUCUUUCUCAGCUCCACCCCUCCAUGUACCUAUUUAAGUGCUUCUUAAAUGAUACUGUUAUAUUUGCCUGUAUUACUGCUUCUGCCAGCUUGUUCCAUAUACUCACCACCUUCUGUGUGAAAAAGUUGGCCCUCAGGUCCCUUUAAAAUUUUUCCCAUUUCCCCUCAUGCUAUAUCUAUAUGCCCUCUAGUUCUGGACUCCCCUCUCCUGCGAAAAAGACCUGCCAUCCACCUUAUCUAUAAUUCCAUAAUUAUAAACACUUCUGUAAAACUACCACUCAUUCUCCAACAUCCCAAAGAAUAAAGAUUUAGCUUGGCCAACCUCUCCACAUAAUCUAUAUCUCCAAGUGUGACUGCACCAAUGGCUUACACAACUGCAAUGCUCAAUUCAUCGCAACUCGUAUAUUCAGUACCUUGAGUGAAGGCCGGUAUGUUAAACACCCUUUUCAUCAUCUUACAAUGCUGCUUUCAGUGGACCCAAGGUCCUUCUGCCACUUGUAUCCUCGGUGCCUCUGUUCCAUUACACUCCUUAGUGCCCUACCAUUCAUAGUACAAAUGCUAAACAGGUUUGACUUUGCAAAAUGUAUCACCUCACACUAGGCUGCAUUGAAAUCUACUUGCCACCUCUUAGCCCACUUCCCCAACUGAUGAAGUAAUCGACGAUAACCAUCUUCACUAUCAACAACAGCCCUAACUUCAUGUCACCUGCAAUCUUGCAAUCAAACCUUGUGCAUUUUCAUCCAAAUAAUUUAUAGAACUUACAAAUAACAAUGAUUCCAACACUGAACCUGGUGCACACUGGCCUUCAUGUUGAGAAACCACCACACUCUGCUUCAUAUUUCCAAACUAAUUUGAAUCCAUUCUUCCUAGAUUUAUGGGACCUAAACUUCCAGACCAGACUAUCAUACAGGAUCUUGCCAAAGGCUUUGCUGAAGUCCAAAUAGACAACAUCAUCUGCCCUACCCUCAUUGACUUUUUAAAUUAACUCUUCAAAAAAGUCUAAAAGAUUUGACAAACAUGACUUCCCCCAGACAAAACCAUGCCAACUUCCUCCUGAUUAGACUCCUGCCCCUCAGAAUUCUCUCCAGUAACUUUCCCAUUGCUGAUGUUAGGCUGACCGCUCUGUAGUUCCCUGGCUUGUCCUUGCUACCCUUUUUAAAUAAUAGAACAAUAUUAGCCACCUUCUAGUCUUCUUGAACUUCAUGACUGGCUAACAAUAAAGGGAAUAUCUCUAUAAGGAUGUCCAUAAUUUUCUUUCUAACCCUUCAUAAAGUCUAAGGAUGCACACUGUAAGGCAUUGAGGAUUUAUUUUCCGUAGUGCACUGUAAGGCUGCCAAUACCUCCUUCUCAGUAAUCUGAAGGUCCUCUGAAAUAUCUCCAGUUGUUUUCUUUGUAACUUGAGCAGCCAUGAGUUUCCCCCUCAGAAAUAUGGAGGAAAAAUAAUCAUACCUCCUGUGGCUCAAGACUUAAGUGGCCCUGCUGAUCUCUAAGGGGCAUAAAGUACACUCUCCCUAGAUGCCCUUUUACUCUCAAUAUAGCUAUAGAACCUCCUGGAAUUUUCCUUAACCUCAUCUGCCAAAUUGAUUUCAUAUCCUCUCUUUGACCUCCUGAUUUUCCCCUUAAAAAUAUUCAUAGCCUUCUUAUAGUCAUCAAGGGAUUUGCUUGAUCCUGACUUCCUGAACCCGGUGCAUGCUUUCUUCUUUUUGUUGAUAAUAUUUAAGUUUACUGACAAUACCUCUGUUGUAGACUGAAUCAAAGGUGUUGAUGAAUCAGAUUUAGGAGGGAGAAUGAAAAUCUGGCUGAGUGGUUCCACAACAAAUUUUCACUCAACAUCAGCAAGACCAAGGAGCUGAUUAUUGACGUCAGGAGGAGGAAUCCAGAGGUCCAUGAGCCAGUCCUCAUCAGGGGAUCAGAGUGGGAGAGGGUCAGCAACUUUUAAUUCCUUGGUGUUAUCACUUCAGGCCGCCUGUCCUGGGUCAGUCAUUACAAAGAAAGCACAACAGUGCCCGUAUUUCCUGAAAGUUUGCAAAGAUUCUUAUAGAUGUGCAGUGGAGAGUAUAUUGACUGGUUGCAUUACAGCCUGGUAUGGAAAUACCAGCGCCCUUGAAUGGAAAAACCUAGAAAAAGUAGUGGAAAUGGCCCUGUCCAUCAUGGGUAGAGCCCUCCCCACCAUUGUGCACAUCUACAUGGAGUGCUGUUGCAGGAAAACAGCAUUGAUCAUCAGGGACCCCCUCCACCCUGGCCAUGCUCUCUUCGCACUGCUGCCAACAGGAUGAAAGAAAGGGGGCCUCAGCACUCAUACCAUCAGUUUCAGGAACAAUUGUUACCUCCAACCAUCAUGCCCUUGAAGAAAAGGGGAUAACUUCACUCAACUUCGCUCGCCCCCAUCACUGAAAUGUUUCCACAAUUUAUGAACUCAUUUUCAAGAACUCAUGACCUCAUGUUCUCGGUUUUUAUUAUUAUAUUUUUUUCUUUCUUAUUAUCUUUUGUACACUGGUUAUCUGACCUGUUGGUGCAGUCUUUCAUUGAUUCUAUUAUGGUUAUUGGAUUUAUAGUGUAUGCCCACAAGAAAAUGAACUUCAGGGUUGAAUAUGGUGACAUAUAUGUACUUUAAUAAUAGAUUUACACUGAGCUUUGAGCCUCAAUAACUCUCAUCAGUUAAAGUUCCCUGAACUUUCCAGGUUUAAUCUAACAGGAACAGGCUGCUCCUGGACACUUGAUAUCACACUCAUAAAAGCCUUUCACUUGCUAAUUAUUCCUUUCCCACCAAAUAGACUCACCUAAUAAACCUCUGCUAUAUCGUAAUUACUUUGCUCCAGUCAGAAGCCAAACCUGUGGACUUGACCUUUCCUUUCCCUCAUUAUCUUAAGAUUAAUAGGAUUAUGAUCACUAGAGUUAAUAAAGUAAAUCAAUAAAUAAGCAAUAAAUAUCGAGAACAUGAGAUGAAGAAUCCUUGAAAGUGAGUCCAUAGGUUGUGGUAAUAGUUCAGAGAUGUGGUAAGUGUAGGUGGGUGUAGUUAUCCCCUGUAGUUCAGUGUCAUGUCAAAUCUUGGUAAACUCCCAGGGAAGUAGAGACACUGUUCUGCUUACUUUAUAAUUGCAAAUACAUGCUGGGCUCAGGACAGGAUAACACUGAGGAAUUUAAAGUUGCUGACCCACUCCACCUCUGAUCCCUGAUGAGUAUUGGCACAUGGAC